UACGUAGGGUGCGAGCGUUGUCCGGAAUUACUGGGCGUAAAGAGCUCGUAGGUGGUUUGUCGCGUUGUCCGUGAAAACUCACAACUCAAUUGUGGGCGUGCGGGCGAUACGGGCAGACUGGAGUACUGCAGGGGAGACUGGAAUUCCUGGUGUAGCGGUGGAAUGCGCAGAUAUCAGGAGGAACACCGGUGGCAAAGGCGGGUCUCUGGGCAGUAACUGACGCUGAGGAGCGAAAGCGUGGGGAGCGAACAGG
rnacentral:rRNA from 1 species